rnacentral:rRNA from 1 species
ACGAACGCUGGCGGCAGGCCUAACACAUGCAAGUCGAGCGAGGACUUCGGUUCUAGCGGCGGACGGGUGAGUAACGCGUGGGAAUGUGCCCUUCUCUACGGAAUAGCCCUGGGAAACUGGGAGUAAUACCGUAUACGCCCUAUUGGGGAAAGAUUUAUCGGAGAAGGAUCAGCCCGCGUUGGAUUAGGUAGUUGGUGGGGUAAUGGCCUACCAAGCCGACGAUCCAUAGCUGGUUUGAGAGGAUGAUCAGCCACACUGGGACUGAGACACGGCCCAGACUCCUACGGGAGGCAGCAAUGGGGAAUCUUAAACAAUGGGAGCAACCCUGAUCUAACCAUGCCGCGUGAGUGAUGAAGGCGUUAGGGUUGUAAAGCUCUUUCAGCUGAGAAGAUAAUGACGGUACCAGCAGAAGAAGCCCCGGCUAACUCCGUG